rnacentral:lncRNA from 10 species
CAAUGCGGUAUUCUAAUUCCACAAAUUGAGUAAUUGAAGAAUUUCAGAGAUGCAACAAGGAUGGAAUUACUGUCCUCGUUCUAGGUUUAGAAGGCAGGCAUGCAAGUACCUAGAGAAAGAGAACAGAUGAAAGCUGGCAGCCUCUUCAUUUACAGACAGCACAAUUUUCUGAAUUUAGCAAGACUCUUCUUUUCCCCCAGAACGCUCUAUGCUAGAUGGUGCCUCUACUUUUUUAUACUUCUAAGUACCUAAUAAGAAAGUGGAAUUAGAGAGGAAUUUGAAGAUGCUAACACCUCCCAGGUUGUAAAACACAUCAGCAGCAGAUUCUCAAGCUUGGCUCUAGGAGCAGCACUAGAGCAACAGGAGGUCGCCACUAGUCUGAGGGACCCCAGGCCUACCCGCGGCUGCUGCAGAGCUCUGUACCUCAGCAGGUGUCCAUGCUUGGAGGGGAGUUUGGCCACCUGCUCUAUGAGACACAGUGCUCCAGAUCACUGUGUAGGCUUCUCAGUUGUCUGCAAGAACCAAGGUAUGUGUGACAUGAUCCCUGUUCUUGCAAGGCAUUUAUAUAUCUAGCAAUAUCCUGAGUUAUUCGGG